UUUUUUUUUACCUCAGGGGCUGUUUGGCACCUGUAACCCUUAAUAUAAUACAGUGAUGAUCUAAUUCAAAUGCUUAUUAUAUCAAANUAGCAAGUUUAUUUUGAUUAUUUAGGAUAAUGUAUAGAAUGCUAUAUCUGCUAUUAAUGUAAAGGAAAAUUUGAGGAUUUAAUGUUACACAAAUAACAUUAGAAAAGUAAUUUAUUUGACAUGUUAUUCAUACCACGUUUAUUGAGUCCUUGCCACCUUUCAUUAUAGUAGUGCUAGGGAUACAAUUGUGAAUAAGACAUGAUCUCUGUUUCAAGAAUUUACAGGAAAUUGGUCAGUGGUUCUGAGCAUUUUUGAUCAUGAAUUCCUUUGAUAAUUAGAAAGAUUUCCACACCACUACUUUCAUCAAACACACUCCAAAAUGUUGUACACAUUUUCAAUGGACUCAUAGGCCUCAAGUUAAGAAAAGUUGGCUAGUUUAAUUUACAGUUUGCUGCGUUAUAAAUAAAAUUGGACCUGGAGCUAGAAAAUCUGCAUUUGAAACUUCUGAUAGUAUCUGGUGUAAAUUUUGACAAACCACUGAAACCUCUCUCUAGUUAUGUCCUCUACUAAGUGAAGGUAAUGCCAUCUGCUUAGCAGAAUUGAUGUUCUAUUCAAUUAGAUAGUACAGGUAAAGAACUUCUUAAAAUUAAAAAGCAAAAUUUUACUAAUGGACUAAAUUGUCUUAUUCAUGCUUUAUUAAUAAUUAGUGAGGGGCUAAGGUUGUGGCUCAGUGGUAGAGCACUUGCCUUGCAUAUGUGAGGCACUGGGUUCGAUCCUCAGCACCACAUAAAAUUAGUAAAUAAGUAAAACAUACUGUGUCCAUGUUCAACUAAAAAAAUUUAAAAAAAUAAUUAGUGAAAAACUAAAUUCUGAUCUUUUUCCUGUCAUUACUUUCAUGAAACUAAUACAGAUAUAGCUGUAACAGUUUGUGUGUCAAGAUUUUCUAAUAGAACUGACACUUUUCCUUUAGUGUAAUUGGAUUAUUAGUCUGUGUUUUAUCAUUACUAUAAGUCAGCUGAACACUGGCUACUACAGGCUCUGUGGUGUUUUUUUUUUUUUUUUUGAGGGGGGAUGAGGGGAGGGCAUGGGGGACCAAGGAUUGAACUCAGGGGCACUGGACCACUGAGCCACAUCCCCAGCCCUAUUUUUUGUAUUUUAUUUAGAGACAGGGUCUCACUGAGUUGCUUAGUGCCUUGCUUUUACUGAUGCUUGCUUUGAACUCUCGAUCCUCCUGCCUUAGCCUCCCAAGCCACUGGGAUUACAGGUAUGUGCCACCGUGUUCAGCUAUAGAGUCUAUUUUUUGAUCUCUUUAAAGAUUAAAGCUACAUUACAAAACCAGUACAGGAUGUGUAGUUUCUUACAGGCAAAGUUCAAACCUGAACUAUGGAGAGCAUCAUCAGAGUUACAAAGAAUUGACAAUAACUGUGGCAGAGGGAGACCAAGAGUUUGCAACAUGGUUUAGUGACCCUUGGUAAAGUUUCAAAGUAUGAUGCAUGUGUCCUUGACCCCUGUACUCUUCCAUCAUUCAAGUACCCAACACUUUCACACUUCCUUCUGACAACUCAAAGCCUCUCAUUACACAUUUUCAGUGUUUCCUGUCAUCACUUUGCAAAAUUUACAAACUGAUGCUUGCCCAUAAAUAAUUAUUUAACAACUGGCAUCAAAUUUAUUAUAAUGAUCAUAUUCUGAUAAUUUAUUAAAUUUAAAAUCAUGCAUAUUUAUGAGAUUAUCUUCCACUAAAAUGUUCCCCCAGAUUCACUUAGAUUAUAACGCCCCAGAGUAUAAACAGCAACUUUACAAUCUUGAAGGUUAAAAUGCAUCAAAACAUAUCUGCUGCAAGUAUUUCUUUUCUUAUACAUGAUUUAAUCAGAUAUGUGAAAUUUGAAUAAAACAACUUGGAGGUAAGUUUUAAUCCUGAAAUUUGAUAAACCACUGAACUAGCCAUACUAGAUAUACAAAAAGGAGAUACUUUAAUUAUUUGUUUUUUGGGGGGUUUGUUGUUGUUUUCAUUGUAGAUGGACAUAAUACCUUUGUUUAUUUUUAUGUGGUGCUGAGGAUGGAACCCAGCACUUCACAUGUGCCAGGCAAGCGCUCUAUCACUGAGCCAUAACCCCAGCCCUCAUUUAUUAUUUUAAUUUAUAAAGAACAGAAAUUUUUCAGUUCUGGAAGCUGGGAAGUCUGAGACUAAGGUGCUGGUAUUUCUUUUUUGGUGAGGGCUAUUUGGUGUUUUCAUAUGGCAGAAGGGCAAAAUAGCCACACAUGGCAUGAAGCCUCUUUCUUGUAAGAGCACUAAUCACAUUUAUAAAGGAGACCUCUCAUGGCCCAAUCAUAAGACUAUUAAUACUAUCUUAUUGCAAUGCCUCAGUUUUGGGGGGAACACAUUCAAACCAUAGCAACCUGUACAUUUCUCCUUCUCCAGCUAGCACCAUGUUAACCUCUGCGGGUAGAGGGGGUUGGAAGGAUGUUGCAAGGAGAGGGUUUCAUUUCUCCUCUUUUAUGGCAUAGCUGCUAAGGGCGCUCUUAGGCACUAUGGUGGUUAAUUUUAUGUGUCAAUGAGACUGGCCGUAAGUACCUAUAUAUUUGGUCACACAUUAUUAUGGAUAUUUCUAUGGGGACAUUAUUGGGAUGAAGUUGACACUUGAACCAUAGAAUUGUAUAAAGCAGAUUGUCCUUCAUAAUGUCAGUGGGUUGCAGCCAAUCAGUUGAACAUCUGUAUAGAAUAAAAAGAUCAGCUUUCUUCAGGCAAGAGAAAAUUCUCCAGCAGACUGCCUUAGGACUAAGAUUGCACCCUCAGCUCUUCCGAGUCUCCAGCCUAUCGGCUUCAGUAAUCAUGUGAGCCAGUCCUUAAAAUAAAUCUGUAUGUACACAGCAUAUUGGUUCUGCUUCUCUAAAGAACUCUUUUUUUUUUUUUUUAAAGAAAGAGUGAGAGAGAAUCUUUUUUAAUAUUUUUUUAGUUUUCGGCAGACACAACAUCUUUGUUUGUAUGUGGAGCUGAGGAUGGAACCCGGGCCAUACUCAUGCCAGGUGAGUGAGCUACCGCUUGAGCCACAUCCCCAGCCCCUCUAAACAACUCUUAAGAGAGAAACCCUCUGAAGCCUACCAACCAACAAGUUUCAUUCAUACAUCAACAGGAGGCUUCUUGCUUACCAGUUCCUGUGUGCCAAGGCCUGAUCCACCAGCUACAUACAGCCCUAGUCCAGAGCAAACCUCCGAUGUUUUCAUCAUUGAUUGGGCUGCAGCCAUACCAUCUGAUAGACCUGACUUCAUCAUAAGGAAGGAGAACCUUUUACAAGGAUGUUCUUUCUUUGAGUACUCAUUCUCAGUCCUAGGGUACUGUCUUUCAGUGUAAUAGAAUUCUCUGUUAUCCUCUCUUAUUUAAUUCCAUUAUCACUCAAAUUAAUAAUAUGCUUGUGUCUUCUGACUAAUAUGAGAGUUAAUGUCAUUUCUACUAUUUUCUAUUUGAAGGUUUUUAAAAGAGCUAUACAAGUUUUUGAUCACCCAUUAUAUGUUUUACAUAAAAACAAAUGACUAUUUUUCUUUGUCUAGUUCUUGUACAGAGGAGUCCAAAUUUAUGACAUCAGUCAUGAUUAUAUUGUAUGUUUUACUAAUACACUGAGAUAUUUACAGUAAUAAUCUACAAUCUUAAGAAUAUGCAUAUUACUUCCAAAUAUGUUGACUAAUUUUUCAAGAGAAUACUGGUGAAUACUUGUACAAUGUGAUUUGCUAUAGAAUUUUUAUAAGCUAAUAAAAUGCUUUAAUAACAAAUCAACCUAAACUGUUUUGGAAAUAACUUCUACUGAAGAAUCAUUAUCAGAUAGUCCUUUGAUGACUGUAUAAAUUCAUGCAGUAUAUAAUCUCUUUGCAUAAAAACUUCCAAGACUGCAGUGAUUUGUUUAUUCUAUGAUUCUGUGGAAAAUUACAUUAUUUUCUCUGACCUGUCUUAAGUUUCAACCUGAAUCUUCCUAGGGUUCUUCCUUUUACCUAUUUCUUCCUCCAGAAGCAUGAUGUACUGUUUUGCAUGUAAGUUUCAUAGCCAUCUCUAUUUUUUUCUGUUACGAUUCCUUGUUGACAUCAAAAACAACACCUUUUAGAAAAGGAACUGUCCAGACAGCAUUGUCCAUUAUAUUUCCUUGCUGAUCCCAGCUCCAUUGACUCACUUAGUAUCAGUCCUCAUAUCUUUAGGAUUAAUCACCAGGUUAAUUUUAGUAGGUCAGGGCAGUAUUGCUGCUGUCAUGGUGCUGUCUUUGGCACCCUGUACUCUGUGCAGCACUCUUUGAAAUUUCAUGUAUUUAUAGACUUCUGAAACUCCAGUGCUGGCAGUUGUAAGGGUGCCUGUUUCACUUGGAAAGUAUUCUAGGAUUUCAGAAUGACAUCUUUCCAAUGCAGCAUAUUGAUGAUACAUAACAAACAUCUCUGAGGUAAAGAACAUUUCCUCCUGACCCCCCAACUCCUCAGUUCCUCCAGGAUCAAAUCAUUUUCAUCUGUUUCUUCUGAGGGAACCCAAAGUAAGAUAAUCUAAUGUUUUAUUCUUUUUGACAUGUUAUUUUCAUUCUCUGCAAGUUUCUUUGAAAUCUUCGUUCUCAUCCUGCAGCAAGUGCUGGAUCUCCCUCAGGUCCUGCUCCUUUUUGCUCAGGAGUUUGGUCACUGUCACAAACUCAGGCUCCCCAGAUUGUAACUGGUCUUCUGACCCUGCCUGGUGCUAGGCAGGUCUACAAGGGCCCACUGGGUGGGGCCAACCACCUGGACAGAGGACAGACAGUACCACCAUCAUCAUUGGCUCUGAACUCUGUUUACCAUUGAAGAAUAAGAUGAAGAAACUGGGGAAAGGACAGGUGUUGCUUGAGUUCAGCAUUUUAAAUAAUUUCUAUUGAACUGUGUUUUACAGUGGUUUUAAUUUUUCAUUUAAUUAGUCCAACAGUGUGUGUGUGUGUAGCAGGAUACUGAAAUUAAGCCCCAGGACCCAGCAUAUGCUUUCCAAGGGCUCUACCACUGAGCUACAUACCCAGCUCUUUUAAUUUCAUUUUAAAUGAGUUUAUUUCAUUUUGAGAAAGGUUCCUCAGGCUGGCCUUGAAUUUUAAUCUCAUGCCUGAGUAGCUACGAGGUUAUCUUUUAAUAGCAGAAUUCAGUUUAGUUUAGCACUUAUAAACAUGAUUUUCCCUUUUAUCUUUUCUGUUUUUCCAUUGUUUCAUUUUCUCAUUUUUACUGGUUUAUCAAGAUACUAUUUGUGACAGACACUGCUGAUGGCCCACUUAUUCAUUCCCUCCUUUGUUCUCAAUAUCAGCACCUAAGUUUUGUUGGGAGUAGUAAAAUACUCAGUAGAAAAGUUGUGGUCCUGGGCUGAGAAGAAUGCCCAUGUGGCCGAGUUCUGUGUACUUGAGUGGAAGUUGCUAGAAGAGGCCUCUGAAAAACCUUAAAAAGAGGAUAACUCUUUUAAAAAAUAUUUAUUUUUUAGUUUUAGGUGGACACAAUAUUUUAUUUUUAUGUGGUGCUGAGAAUCAAACCCAGUGCCUCACGCAUGCUAGGUGAGCACACUACCACUUGAGCCACAUCCCCAGCCCAGAAGAGGAUAACUCUUGAUGAGAGAAACUUCAUAGUUCUCUCUCCUUUUCUCUGCUUGGCAGAAAUAAUGGCCAUAUAGCACUCAUAGGACGACACUAAAGAUGGAAGUAGAAUAUUAAUAGUAGAAGAAGAAGACAAAAAAAGACUGAAUCCCUGUGGAAUUACAGGCUGGGGUGGUCGACCUUGAGGCAUAUUUUAUAUGAGGGGAGAAGUUGUAGCAUCUUCUAAUCCUGUGGCAUUAUGGGUUGGAGACUGUAUAUGCUCUUCAAUUUUACUGUAUCUCUGAUUGUUGGAUUCACAUGACUAUUCAGUUCAGUACCAGGUCUUAACUGAUAGUUUUUGUAGAUCUUGCAGAGGACACUGGGCCUGGACCUUGUAUGGAGGUGGCUGUCGUCUUGUCUCCCUCCUGUAAGCAGCAGUUUGACACAGACCACCUUCCAACAGAGACUAUAAUUUGCUUUAAACACUACUUCAGAGGUGCAACCCUAUCUAAGUGGUCCCCUUGGUGUUCUAGUUUCUCACCAGAUGAGACCUGUGAUAGAUCAUAGUCCCUGCCCAUUCACCUGCCCCAUCCCAGUUCAGGGAAGUCUUUUUCUAGCAGAAAGGCACAAUCCCUUCUCACUCAUCACUCACCAUAAAAUGAGUUCAUUCGCUUUAGUGGAUUAAUUUAUCACCAAUUAAAAGAUGACUCUCAAAGUUUAUGUCUCCUACUUCAACCUCUUUUGUAAGUUCCAGACCAUACAUUGAAUGACAACUUUUUGUAGUUUUUUUGUUAUUAUUUCCGUGAUACUGAGGAUUGAAUCCAGGACUUUGCACAUUCUGGGCAAGUGUUUGGCCACUGAACUACAUCCCCAGCCCUUUUAGCUCUUUUCUGUUUGUUUUUGUUGUUUAUCCUUGUUCCUGGUGUUUAUUUUUAUUUUUAUUGUUUAUACUUGUUUGGAGUCUUGGAGAUUGGUAGUGGAAAUACACGAAUGAACUCAAAGCACACUUGCACUAGAAAUUCUCCAUUUACUCUUAGUGUUUCUUUUUGUAAUUUAAUUUUAAUUUUUUUUAUCACAAUAAGAGUUAUUUCAUCAUAAAAAUUCAAUUGUUCUACAUGUAUAAUGAAAACCAGAAAUUCUUUGUUGCAUUUCUCCAUACCUCAGCUUAUUCUCCCCAGAAACCAAUGAGUCUUGACUCCUGUAUCUUUAUAUUUCUAAAUAGCAAUGCUAGGCUAGCUAUCUCUAACCCUUUUAGUUUUAGAUAUUAUCUGUUAACUUCCUACCAUAGAGGAAGAGAAUUUACCUCUCUUACAUAGCACUCACUUCUACAUGCUCAUAAACUUUUCCAGCCUCAUCCAUCAGCACAAUUAUUUCGAAUAUUUUAGUUAAAUCUGUACUCAAGUAUUUAUCUCAUUAUAAUUAUUCAUAACUGUGCUAUUGUAUUGUUAAAAUUCUUGUACCAAUUUUUGCUUUCCCUGAAGUUUAAAAUUACUUAUUGUUAUUGGUCUCUAAAUUCCCCCCAAAGAAGUAAGAAUCUGUCCUGAUAUAUUUAAACAUACCAUAUUUUAUUAUUACUGUUGUUGUUGUUGUUAUUAUUAUUAUUUCCCUGAAGCUCACAAGGCUCCUGAUUCAAUGUGGAUAGGUUAAUCUGUAUAUCUUUAAGAAUUUGCAUAUUUGAAAAGGUUGGUUUUGUUUUGUUUUUUUUCUCUCCUCAUUGUUGACUGACAAUUUUACUGAAUAUAGAAAAAUUAUUUUCUCUUAGAAUUGGAAAGCAUUUUUCUAUUGUUUGUUAGAUUCCAUGAAGCUAUUGAGAAAUUCAAAGACAUUCUUAUUUCUAAUCCUUUCCAUAUGAUUUUAUUUGCCUGAAAACUUAAGGAUUGUAUUUUUCUAGCUAUGCUUUGAAAUUUCUUAAUGAUUUGGUGUGAGUCUUUAUUGUGUGGAGUACUUGGUAGGCCUAUUAUUU
rnacentral:lncRNA from 1 species